AAUUCCCCCAAUGGUUCAAUUACUUUAGCAGCCCUAAGCCCUGGCCACCUUGAUUGUGCUCUCCUCUUGAGGCUCAUUUCUCCUCCCACACUACCCGUACACCACUCAAGAUCGCCCUAGGCUCUCCCUCACCUCCCUCCACCAUUCCGACCCUCACUCAGGUUCUCUCCUCUCCUCUGCUUCUUUCAAAAAUAUUUGAACCCCUAGUUUCUACUUGUAGAACCAUGGAUACAAGGAACAAUCAACCAUGCCUCUCCACCAUCCUUCUUCCGCCAUCAUCUCCAUCCUCGGCCACUCCACGGCCGCUAGAACAGUCAUUGCUGCCACUGCUCUGCUACAAUCCCCAAAAACCCUUUCCCUCCCUCUUCACAUCAUCGAAAAUCCCCCUCUAUAGGAAACCGAAACAUCAGAAAAUAUAUGGUUAUUUGCAAAUGAUAAGACCAGUGUUGGUCGAACCGUGUUGACUAGCCAGUUUUGGAUGUACCAAACUGGACCGGCCAGCUACUGGCACGAUUCAUUACAUCAAGACGGUUCACCACUUCGUAUUUUAAUUCACUUCAAAGCUCUCAAUUGCCAUCCCCCUCGACUUUGAAACAAAAGCUCAAAGAUGAAGCUCCUUCGAUUCUCCCGACACCUCCCCUUUCCCUCUCUCUCUCUGUCUCUCCCCUAGACUAACAAGGGCUUGAAGCUCCUUUGGCUCUCCCAACGUUGUUUGAAGCCCUCCCUGCCAGGUAAGUCCUCCUCCCCUCUCCCCCUCCUCUCUCUUGAGACUUUAAAAGUAGAAACUGAAGCGGGCAAGGUGAAAUCCUAACCUUGACCCUUGAGGGCUUUUCGAUC
rnacentral:lncRNA from 1 species